rnacentral:snoRNA from 1 species
AAUCAACAUCAGCUCUGAACACUGGUCUUCAUGGUUAUAAAAGGAGGAAAAGUGGUACCGAAGCUGGUUCAGUAUGGUACAUACCAUGUGGGCUAGUUUCAAACAGAA